AUGAUUCGUGGGACGUCCUGCCGGUGGUGGCGAGUCGAAGGCGUGCUCCCGUUGUGGUUCCCACUUCGGUUCUUGCGCGCACGAGGCGGACCCCGAUGAAAUCCUACCGCGGUGCUCUUCGCCGAGUGUCGAGGUGGGCCGGCACGUUUACUUUGAACAAAUUAGAGUGCUUAAAGCAGGCCUGUUGCGCCUGAAUACUGUGUGCAUGGAAUAAUGGAAUAGGACCUCGGUUCUAUUUUGUUGGUUUUCGGAACCCGAGGUAAUGAUUAAUAGGGACAGGCGGGGGCAUUCGUAUUGCGACGUUAGAGGUGAAAUUCUUGGAUCGUCGCAAGACGGACCGAAGCGAAAGCAUUUGCCAAGUAUGUUUUCAUUAAUCAAGAACGAAAGUUAGAGGUUCGAAGGCGAUCAGAUACCGCCCUAGUUCUAACCAUAAACGAUGCCAGCUAGCGAUCCGCCGAAGUUCCUCCGAUGACUCGGCGGGCAGCUCCCGGGAAACCAAAGCUUUUGGGUUCCGGGGGAAGUAUGGUUGCAAAGCUGAAACUUAAAGGAAUUGACGGAAGG
rnacentral:rRNA from 1 species